AGAGUUGAUCAUGGCUCAGAACGAACGCUGGCGGCGCGUUUAAGCAUGCAAGGUCGAGCGGCAAGGGCCUUCGGGCCCCUAGAGCGGCGGACGGGUGAGUAACACGUGGACAAUCUGCCCCCCGGCCCGGGAUAGCCCAGGGAAACCUGGAUUAAUACCGGAUGAGACGGGACCCGCGAUGGCGGGACCCGGGAAGGCGCUGCGGCGCCGCCGGGGGAUGAGUCUGCGUCCCAUUAGCUAGACGGCGGGGUAACGGCCCACCGUGGCGACGAUGGGUAGCCGGCCUGAGAGGGUGGACGGCCACAUUGGAACUGAGACACGGUCCAGACUCCUACGGGAGGCAGCAGCUAAGAAUCUUCCGCAAUGGGCGAAAGCCUGACGGAGCGACGCCCGCGUGAACGAAGAAGGCCGUGAGGUUGUAAAGUUCUUUUCGGGAGGGGGAACAACCGUGGCAGGGAAUGGCCGCGGGAUGACGUGAAUCCCGGAAUAAGCCCCGGCUAACUACGUGCCAGCAGCGGC
rnacentral:rRNA from 1 species